UGGCCAGUGACGAAUCAGAAAAUCACACCAUCUUUCGGAGCUUAUUGGCCCUAAGGCCAUGCUGAUUCUUUUCUGCAAAUCUGAGGCCU